UUGUUUGGCUUGGGACCAUGAUGACAUACAGUACAAUAUAUGCGAUAUAAUCAUUGCCUGGAAGUACGAUUUUGCUGCUUCCAAUGAUAAAGAGCUUCUGAUGUGCUGGAAGUUAGCGAUGUUAAAUUUCAAAACACGGCAUACCCUUUUAACAUGAUUUUUAAAAUUUAGUACAGGAUCCAAGAUCACACCUAGGUAUUUAACUUCUUCCACAUUUUUGAUCAUGUAACUAUCCACAUAGAUAUUUGGGAAAGCACUUUGAAUUAUUUUGUUUGAAAAAUACAUUGUGACCGUUUUCUCUGUAUUCAGUGUAAAGCAAGACUUGUUCAUCCACUCUGUUGCUUUGUUCAUUGCCACAGAUAUUUUAGCAGCGACAGAACUGACAUUAGAACCGUGAGUAUAUAAAACCGUGUCAUCAGCGCACAUCAAGGCCUCCACUUCAUCACAGAUGGAAGGUAGGUCAUUGAUGUACAAACUGAAGAGCAAUGGCCCCAGAAUAGACCCCUGGGGUACCCCUGUAGUACCGGAUCUGAACGAUGAAGUUUUAUCAUUUAUUCUUACGCACUGGUAACGGUCUGCUAGGUAUGAUUGAAGCCAACUAAUGGUGUUUGCGGCGAGAUUGAAAUUCCACAGUUUUGUCAGCAGCACUGAGUGGUUAACGGUGUCGAAUGCCUUACGUAGAUCCAGAAAAAUGGCCCCAACCACCCCUCCCUUCACCAGACUGGAUUUGAUCACCUCGAGGAAAUAACAACAAGCUGUGUCGGUGGAGUGUUUGGGUCGGAAGCCAAAUUGCAUGGGGUGUAACAUAUUUACAUUGUCGAGGUGCUCAAUCAGCUGUUCGGCGACAAUUUUUUCAAUAACUUUAGAAACUGCAGGGAGAAUACUAAUGGGUCGAUAAUUCUUAAUGUCCUUUCUGUUUCCUGAUUUAAAAAUGGGCGUGACAAUUGCAGUCUUACAGGACGAAGGGAAUACACACUCUCUAAACGAUUGAUUAAUUAUGUGCGCAGUUGGUUCUGCAAAGUCCUCUUUAUAUUUUUUAGUAACAGCGAAUCAAGACCCCAUAAGUCCUUUGCUCUCAAGUUAGAGAGUGAUGUAAUAACUUUGUUGACCUUGCCUUCAUUUACACAUUCAAAGUCCAGUACUUCCACCAGAGUGGGUUGUGGUCCUCCUGUGGGACCAGCAGCCGUGGCCCACACAAUGGCUGCAGAUGGUGUUAAAAGCAGCUCUAAGGGUUUACUUAGUUCCAGAAUUGAAGUGAUGAAGUACUCAUUAAACAUGUUGGC
ensembl:lncRNA